rnacentral:rRNA from 1 species
CCUACGGGUGGCAGCAGUGAGGAAUAUUGGUCAAUGGCCGAGAGGCUGAACCAGCCAAGUCGCGUGAAGGAAGACGGCCCUACGGGUUGUAAACCUCUUUUGUAGGGGAACAAAGUGCAGCAUGUGUAGUUCAUUGCAUGUACCCGAUGAAAAAGCAUCGGCUAACUCCGUGCCAGCAGCCGCGGUAAUACGGAGGAUGCGAGCGUUAUCCGGAUUUAUUGGGUUUAAAGGGAGCGGAGGCGGGGUGUUAAGUCAGGUGUGAAAUUUUGUGGCUCAACCCCCGUACUGCAGUUGAUACUGGCACCCUUGAGUGCGGUAGAGGUAGGCGGAAUGCGUGGUGUAGCGGUGAAAUGCAUAGAUAUCACGAAGAACUCCGAUUGCGAAGGCAGCCUGCUGGACUGCAACUGACGCUGAUGCUCGAAAGCGUGGGUAUCAAACAGGAUUAGAUACCCUGGUAGUC